AUGGUAAUCAUAUUAUCAUAUUUUCUGUCUCACAGAGCUCAGGAGAUGAAGGUGGAAAGAAGCAUGGAAAGGGCAAAGGGAAAGGGAAAGGACAAGGUCAUGGACACGGUAAAGGAGGUGAACACGGUAAAGGAGGUGAACACGGGAAAGGAGGUGAACACGGGAAAGGAGGUGAACACGGGAAAAAAGGAUCUGACCAACAAAAAGGAAAAAAGUAAUGAGCUCAUAGCCCGAGGCCUGGGAAGUCCAUUUAUGUCCGCAUGACUUACACAACAAAACUUGUUUCAACUCCAUUUUGCAUACAAAAAAUAAAUAAAAUUAAAACACCCUUAAGCGAGUAGUGUCUAUCUUUUGCUGAGCCUGUGUCUGUUUAAUGGGAAUUAAGUAGUUAUGUUGUGAAGCAUUAAAAUGGUGUCUAAACAACACUCAGAUACUAACAUACUGAAACAUGAAACAAAAUGCCUGAGAUGUUGCAUGAAUAAUGCCAACCAACAGAAUUUAAAAGGUCAUCUUUGAUUAAAAUACAUUAUGCAACCAGUGAUUUUAAGGAACUAUAACAGAUCUCCUGCUACUGGACACAACCAAUUAUAUCAGUACAGGUUCUGCAAGUUUGCCACUCUAAAUGUUAAACUGAACUUUGAAGUAGAUGCAUGCCAUCCAUAUUAAAAUGCUUAAGACCUACAAAUAACCCAAAUGAAGGUGGGGAACCCCAAAAGUGGGAAAUGUUGAACCAAAGUUGGUGCUACAGGUUGAAAACUUGGAGUGUGCUUCAUACAGCAUUCUUAUUCAACAAAUAAGUCUCCACCCUGGUCUAAAAAGAAAAAGAAAAAACAUAUUGGGAACCCAACUUUAAAUAGGGAUAAGAACUUCCAAUAACUGAAGAAAUGCAUUAGUACCCAUCACUUUUCCAGAGGAGAAAAACAAAUAUCCUAAGUUAACUGCUUGGAAUAUGCAAAAAAAAAAAAAAAAAAUUGCAGGAAAAGGAAAUUAACAUUCUCUGUAGAGUUUGACAAUUCAGAUUGGUGCAGCUCUUUAGAGCAUCAUGGGGUAGUGUAGUUCUCCCACUUGGGGAUUUCUCUAAACCUUGAGUUCACAGGAGGUAAAUUUCCCUACUGAGAAAAGAGCUUUUUUCUUCCUGAACCUGAAUAAGAACAUUUAAAUUACAGUUUCCCUACAUUUAACAGAAGGAAGUUGUUACCAAGUGGUUUCUGUUCAACUACACUCUUAAAAAUAAGAUGCAAACAAGGGGGUGGGGGCUCAGAGUUCAGUGGUGUCUGGGGCAAAAGAUGGGAAUGGGGAGGUAAGGUUGAGAGGGGGUUCAGGCAGCACAAGGCACAUGCCAGAGUGCAUAAAAUGAUUGUAGUGCAAAAGAGCUUAAUCAGACUUAAAGUGACAAAAACCACAGAGAGCAUUUCUUUAUUUAAACUGACUGAAGAGGUAGUUGAAUGAUGUAGUGAGCAGACCAAUGCUGCACAAAGUGUCUGGUGCAGGUCACAGUUUGUAAGUGGGAGUGUGGAGUGGAAGGACCUGGGGAUGUGGGAGCUUGGGGGGGCAAACAAGGGGGAGGGGGUUCAGAGUUCAGUGGUGUCUUUGAUAGCAGCCUUCAGCUCCUCUGUAUUGUUUGUCAGUUGUUACUUAUCUUCUUCUUCACAAUACCCCAUAGAUUCUCUGCGAGGUUCAGGUCAGGUGAGUUGCAGCGGAAGUAGAGCACUGUAAUAUCAUGGUAAGCAAACUUCUUGGACGUGGUUUUGGUACUGUGGGCAGGUGCUAAAUUCCUCUCCAUAAAAAUUGUCAGCAGAUAGAAAGCAUAAAGUGCUCCAAAAUCUCCUGGUAGAUGGCUGCAUUGACUUUGGAGUUGGUAAAACACAAUGGACCAACACCAGCAGACAUCAGAGCACCCAAAUCAUCAGUGACUUUGGAAACUUAACACUGGACUUCAAGCAGCUUGGAUUCUGUGCCUCUCCAGUCUUCCUCCAGACUCCAGACUCCAGACCUUGAUUUCCAAAUGAAAUGCUAAAUCUACUUUCAUCUGAAGAGAGGACUGUGGACCACACAGCAACAAUCCAGUUCUUUUUCUCCUUACCCCAGGUAAAAUGCUUCUGACGUUUUUUUCUGAUUCAGGAGUGGCUUGGUUCUAGGAAUGUAACAGCAGUAGCCUUUUACUUGAAGACGUCUGAGUGUGGUGACUCUUGAUGUGCUGACUCCAGCUUCGGUCCACUCCCUGUGAAGCUCUCCUAAGUUCUUGGAUCGGCUUUUCCUGACAAUCUUUCCAAGGCUGUGGUCAUCCCUGUUGCUUUUGCACCUUUUCUUACCACACUUUUUCCUUCCAGUCAACUUUCUAUGACUAUAUUUUGAUACAGCACUCUGUGAACAGCCGGCCCUUUCAGCAAUGGCAUUCUGUGGCUUGACCUCCUUGUGGAGGCUGUUGAUGAUUGUUUUGAAUAACUGUCAAUUCAGUAGUCUUUCCCAUAAUUGUGGUUGCAUAUUCUAAACUAGCUCAAGAGGUGCCCAGUAUUUAUAUUCAAAAUGAAUCAAACUAAUCAACCUCAAAAUUGAAAAUUAUUAUUUUUUUAAGAUACUGAAUUUUUAAUUUUCCUAAACUGUAAGUCUUAAACCAGGGAUAGUCAACUCCGGUCCUGGAAGGCCACUAUCCUGCAGAGUUUAGCUUCAGCCCUCAUAAAAACUCACCUGCCUGUAUCUAUCUAGUAAUCCCGAAAACAUUGAUUGCCUUGUUCAAGUGUGUUUAAUUAGGGUUGGAGCUAAACUCUGCAGGACAGUGGCCCUCCAGGACUGGAGUUGCCUAUCCCUGUCUUAAACCAUCAGAAUAAAUAAAAAUAAAACAACUCUUGAAAUGUAUCAGGUUGAGUGCAAUGAAUCUAGAAUAUAAGAAAGUGUGCUUUUUUAAAUUAAAUUACAAAAAAUAAAGACCUUUUUCAUGAUAUUAAAAUGUUUUUAGAUGCACCUGUAUAGUAAAUUGGCUAAAUGGAGGGACUAAGCACGGAAGACACCUGUAUUUGUUCAGGUACAAUAAGUGGGAUUAAACUUUUUUUGUACCUUUUAUUGUAAUUUUUUUUACUUCAAUGGAUGUCAAUCCUUGUAAUGUCCGGAGAUUUCAUUCUGAGUAUAUUCAUCAGUAUAUUUAAAAAAAAAAUUUGUGAAAGAUUAAGGAACUAGAAAUAUUUUAGAUGCAUUAAGUCUCCACAUCUAACAGUGAUUGAAACUUUUUAGAUGUUCUGAGACAAAACUGUGAAUCUCUUAAAAUCCAUCCAUCUUUAAGAUUAUUCCAGCAAUACAUUUUGAUGCAAUCACAAACCCAUCACUUGUAACAUGACGCUCUCUUGUGGCUGCUGGGAUACAUUGGAGAUGUAAGUGAAAUUAAUUUACCGGAAAAAAAAAAAAAAAAAUUAAAACCUAAACAAAAUUUCAAAGCUGAUUAAAAUAGUACAAUACUAUACAUUUUUAUAAAUCUAAACUUUAAUUAUAUAAUAAUAAAAUCACUUUUAAUGUAAAUUUGUCAGUGCUGUCACAUCUGUACUGUGUGAAACUUUAAAUCCUGCAAAAGGAUAGAAUCACAAAUCAUUACUUUAACAAUUGAGAACAUUCAUUUUCUGAAUGAAUAAUAAAGUUGUUUACAAUGGGAUAUAAUUUAGCUCUUCUGACAGCUGUAAAUCACUCAUGAUGAUGGCGGCAAUGGCGGAGGCUGAGAUCUCACUCUACAAAACCAAUACAGAUGAGAGUCCAUCUGGGGUAAACAGCAGUUUUACUGUAAUGUGGUUAAAAGUAAAAGCACACUUAAAGUCACCAAUAUAAACAGUAUCUGCUAAAUAAUAUACAUGUAUUCCAAAAAGCAGCUCUGAGAAGGACUUUUACAGUCCAGUUUUCAGCUUUGUUCAUUAAUUGUCUUAAGUUUGUUUUUCCAGUUCAGAUGAACACUGAUCAUUGUCCACUCACAUCAGCAAACCUCAAACACCGCAGCAGUUCGUCUGAAGCUAACCCAACAAAACUCAACAUGAAUUAUGAAAAGGUUUGAGACCAACAUUGCGCUUUUACAACCGUUUACUCACAAACACUUAAAUGACUUUUACCUCAUAGUAAUUGACAUAAAUGCUGAUUAAACCAUUGUUGAAGGAGCUCAACCUGUGGAUAGGUUCAGUUUUUAAAUAAAUGUUUCAUGAUAUUCAGAUGCACAAGAUUGUCCUUUGCAAAACAAAAGAUUGUUACAGUUUAACCAAAACCCAAAAAGGCAGGCGAGAGAGAGCGAGAGAUUCCGGGACAAUUAAACCUUUCUGCCUUGUUUCAUAAUUAAACUACUUGGCCUCAAAAUUAUUACGGUCAGGAGAAAGAAAUCUCAUCCCCUUAUUGAAAUUCAGUAAUACAUCAUCCUUUCUCCCCACAAUAUAAUGCCGUACAACCAACACUUUCAAUUACAUAUAUUUCUUUUAUGUAAAUUGCACUGCUUUUUUCCCCCCUUUGAUUUUAAUAGUAAAACAGGACUUGGACCAAAAAAAAUUAAAUAGUGCCUUUGAACAGGACUCUGCAUAUAUGUUUGGGUUUAAAGCAAUGGUAUACUAAAAUGAAAGUUAGCUGAUAAUGUGCUCCCCUCAGGUCAACCAAAAAGUAGACGAAUGGUUUUCAUUCGAGGAAUGCAGCAUUGCAUUAGUUGCUCACCCAGUGAAUGAGUCCCCAAAUCGCUGGUAGUUACACUUCAGAGCAAGCAAUAUGGACGGUCAAGGGAUAUUGGAAAGUACACUUAAAAAGCAAUAAAUUAUAUUUAUGCAAGAAGUAACACGAUCCAAUUGGAUUUAGCCAACAUAUAGAAAGCAAUUGGUUCAAAACAUAAGAUGCAUAAAAAAAAAAAAAAAAAAAAAAAAAAAAAAAAAAAAAAAAAAAAAGCAGUGCUUCAGGGAAGUGGAUGUUCGAGUAGAACUCUUGGGGUAGAGAUUAAACCAAGUUCACAGUAGGUUUCUUUAAAGGUUAUGUUGACUUUACUACGGAGGACUGCUUUUCCUUCUAGAAAAAGUAAAGGGACCAGUAGGACUCCCAAUUUCCCCACAUUUACUGCUCAAAUCCAAGUUUGUAAAACUAGACAAGAUAAAAGGUUUUCCCCAUUUAUUGAGAGUC
rnacentral:lncRNA from 1 species